UUUUGUCUAACCAUUGUGCCUGUGGCGCUUUUUAAAAUCAUUUGUAGAGGGAAGAUUAGGCUGAUGUUAUAAACGGGACAGCAGAGAACAUCACGAAAACGAUGUGCACUCUUCAAUGGGGCAGAAGGCUGUGUGUUGUCAUUCUGGAUGGCCAGAUAGUUAACAACAAUGACAAACUGCCAAGUGUCUCGUUUCAGCUAAUUUUAUCUUGUUCUUGAUACCAUGUCUUGUUUUGACUGAUGUCACGUCUACGCUAAUAUGGUAAACAUUAGCUAGCUAACCACCAACUGUAACUAUGUAUUUUAGACAACAAGUGCUCAUUGUAAAACCAUUAUGAUUUCAAUAAACAUUGGAGAUGAAAUAUAGUGUACAUGUUGUCAACAAUCUAAGCCAACCCCCGUCGAUUUUGCCACAUAGUUGUGCACCCGUUGGUUUUAUUGCUAAACAACCAACCCAUAUAUAGAUAUUAGCUAUCAGGGGCAAUUAGAAUGUCUCCCCACGUUUUUCUCAACAAACGGACAACAAGAACAUCAGUUUACAAGCAUUUCGAUACACCCGCAAUAACAUCUGCUAAAUAUGUGUAUGUGACCAAUAACAUUUGCUUUAAUGCCAUACAUUUUUAAAUCAUAUUAGUACAAAAAAAAAACAUUGAAGAUAUCUAAUAUGGAAGCGCAUCAGAAUUGUUUAACAUUUGUUAUAUUUCAGGCAUUAUAAUGACAUUUUUGUUGACCAUAAAGAGAUACUGAGUUACAGAAAUGAUUGUCAGAAGUUCCGUAUAGGUAAUCAUCACAGUAUUAUCACAUGUCAGGAAACAUUCACCAGUUUGUUUAGAAAUGAACACUGAAAAUAACUGUAAACUAAAGGGUUUAAAGAUAGAAAAAUGAGGAACUAGUUAAUAUUCUAAAUGUUAGUAAACAAAAAAUAAACAUGUUUGAUUGGAUCCUUUUCUAAACAAAUGUUCACUUUGGUUGUUUUUAAAAGAUAUGUUCUAUAACUGUGUUCUGUGAGGGGAUUGUGCUCCUUAUCUUCUCUGGACAGAUCAGAACCUCAUCUCAUUAUGCUAAGAUCUAGGUCACUCAUAUAAGGAAAUUGUUGUGAACUUCACUUGUUAUGUCAUCCAAUACCCUUUUCCCCAAUGCCCA
ensembl:lncRNA